UCAUGUAUUAUUUACGUAUUUGGCUAAGCGUAAUUGCGACGUGCAGUCCAGUUUUACGUUUUCUCGUUAAUCCUCGCCUGGUCUUCGUCGCAGGACGUGGAGCCGCCUGUUGUUGUUCGUGUUGUUAAAACGCAAUCGCGAUGUCUACGCAAAAUGUGGGAAAUGAGGAAAACGCAGCCUCGAAGUCAAAGCGACCUUCAGAUUCGGCCUUCAAGCAGCAACGUCUGCCCGCCUGGCAGCCAGUGUUAACAGCGAGAACAGUGCUGCCAACGUUCUUUGUGAUUGGCAUUCUCUUCAUACCCAUUGGCGUGGUGCUGCUGCACUUUUCCAAUACGGCCAACGAGGUGAUUGUCGAUUACACGCAGUGCAAACAGAUUGGGGGCAAUCAAACCUGCGCUGAUUUUCUCAAGAACAACACAGGCGGACGUUGCCUCUGCGAGGAGAACGUGCAUCUGCCCGUCGACUUUAAUGGCGAUGUGUACAUGUAUUAUGGUCUGACCAAUUACUAUCAGAACCAUCGACGCUAUGUGAAGUCGCGUGACGAUGAGCAGCUGCUCGGUCGCCUCUCGUUAACACCGAAUUCGGAUUGCACACCGUUUGCCUACACGGACGAUGGCACGCCCAUUGCGCCAUGCGGUGCCAUUGCCAAUUCCCUGUUCAAUGACUCACUGACUCUAAGUCUAAACAAUGAGCCCAUCAAAUUAUUUAACACGGGAAUUGCCUGGCCAUCGGAUAAGCGCGUCAAGUUCCGCAAUCCGGAGGGUAACUUGAACAAAUCCUUGGAGGGAUUUGCGAAACCUUUGUUCUGGCAAACCGGACUUGCUGAUUUGGAUCCAUUGAAUCCCGACAACAAUGGCUUCCAAAAUGAAGAUCUCAUUGUUUGGAUGCGCACGGCUGCCCUGCCUAGUUUCCGCAAAUUGUAUCGUCGCUUGAACCAAACAGUUCCCGAAUAUGCCAAGGGUCUCAAGGCUGGCAAUUACACGCUGCACAUUACCUACAAUUAUCCGGUUGUUUCAUUUGAUGGCACCAAACGAAUGAUUCUGUCGACCACCUCAGUGCUGGGCGGUAAGAAUCCAUUCCUAGGCAUUGCCUACAUCGUUGUGGGCGCCAUUUGUGUGACACUUGGACUGGCGCUGCUCUUCAUUCACAUGCGUUGCAGCCGCAGCGUUGAAUUUAGUUGAAGCACAUGUACUCAUCAAGUUCCCAUCCAACAAACUUGGCUGUCAAAAUAGAAAAACUAACUUUGCAACAUGGAGAUGAUUAACGUGAAUCCACACACGCAGUACUCCUAGAGGCAACGGAUUUGACAUGAUAGUAUUUUUGGCAAUGCUGUUUCUGCGACUCGCCCACGCACCAAUUUUUUAGCCUUAGUAGUAUCUUGUUUAAGAAUAAUAAUUUAUAUGUAAAGUAUGUCCUAUGUCAACAGAAUACAACACACUUAGAUUCUAUAUUUGUAUGUAUUACACGGCAUUGUCGUUGGCUGUGUCCUAUUUCUUUUACUUGUUAUCAUUGAGUAAUUUGUACAUUUCUUGUUUUUCCUUUUUUGAUUUUUGUUUUGUUUGAUAUAAUGAUAUAAUUAUUCGAUUCGUCUUGAAAUCCACCUGACAACGUUUUUUGACAUUCAAUCAAUUGUCACCUCAACGAAACUAGACCAAAACAAGCUAAUUGAGCUAACUUUAUAUAUAUCUGCCCCACACAUACAUUAAAGUAUUUAUUAAUAUUUAACAAAACUUAAAAACAAUUAAAACUUUUUGUGCCUCUCUGCCAAACACGGCUAACAACAAAUCAGUUUAUUAUUAAGGCAAUUCGAUAUGAGUGAAUGUGCAUUGAUAUUUUGUUAAAUAAUGCUUGUGCAAAUAAAUCCUGAACUCUGCAAAAUUAUUUAUUAAUUGUUGUUAUCAACUUUGAAAUCCUGUGGUACACUGGAACUUUGGCGCCCAACAAUUUGAAUUAUCGAUAUACCAACAAAAAUUCUUUGAACUUUUUUGGUAUAUUGUACAUAAAUCGAUACAUUUGCUGCAGCGAUACAUUCAGGCUGUUAUCGACAAUUGGCGCUAGAGUACAGAUUUUGAAAUUUACCCUCUAAGUAAAAACAAUUUGUUCAUGGUAUUCAAUUAGACAUACAUAUGCAUGCUGCAUAUGUGUUUUGUUUGCAUUCAUGUGUGUUUUAUUAUUAUUAUUAUUUGUAUCUGAUUUUUAAACUAGUUUCCAAUUACAUACACAAACCUUAAAUUAAUUAUACAAGUAAAAGGUAUGUCCGCAAUCGCAAUAAUUAAUUUGUAAGCGUAAUUAACAUAUGCGCAGUAUGCACUAUUUAUUCAUAAUUUUUUUUCUUUCGUUUAUGUGAUCCUCUUUUUUUUAUAUGUUUUACUCAUACAUACGAUUAUAAUGCAGCAUGAAACGAUUUUGUUUUGUGUGUGUGUGUUUUUGUGUGAAAAUGCAUUAUCAUAUAAAUAAUUAAUAUACAGAUUACAUACUAAAUUUAUAUAUAUAUAUAUAUAUAUUUAUAUAUGGGGGUCAAAGUGCUAAUGCUGCUGGUGCUGUGUUUUCGAGUGCAUGUGUUUGUUUGUGUGUAUGGCAAAAAUAAUGUUUCAGUACACGCAACACCUAGUCGGAUAAUGGAAAGGUGUCUUGCCAGAGUGUGUAUUGUUUCAUUGGGUUUGUAUUCUUAUUCAUGUUUGGCGCAUUUUGUUAAAAC